UUCCGGUUGAUCCCGCCGGACCUGACUGCUAUCGGAUUGAUACUAAGCCAUGCGAGUCAUUGUAGUAAUACAAGGCAGACGGCUCAGUAACGCGUAGUCAACCUACCCUAUGGACGGGGAUAACCUCGGGAAACUGAGAAUAAUACCCGAUAGAACAUUAUACCUGGAAUGGUUUAUGUUUCAAAUAAUCUAUUGCCGUAGGAUGGGACUGCGGCCUAUCAGUUUGUUGGUGAGGUAAUGGCCCACCAAGACUAUUACAGGUACGGGCUCUGAGAGGAGUAGCCCGGAGAUGGGUACUGAGACACGGACCCAGGCCCUAUGGGGCGCAGCAGGCGAGAAAACUUUGCAAUGUGCGAAAGCACGACAAGGUUAAUCCGAGUGGUUUCUGCUAAAGGAACCUUUUGUCAGUCCUAGAAACACUGGUGAAUAAGGGGUGGGCAAGUUCUGGUGUCAGCCGCCGCGGUAAAACCAGCACCUCAAGUGGUCAGGAUGAUUAUUGGGCCUAAAGCAUCCGUAGCCUGCUUUGUUAGUUUUCGGUUAAAUCCAUACGCUUAACGUAUGGGCUGCCGGGAAUACUGCAAAGCUAGGGAGUGGGAGAGGUAGACGGUACUCGGUAGGAAGGGGUAAAAUCCUUUGAUCUAUUGAUGACCACCUGUGGCGAAGGCGGUCUACCAGAACACGUUCGACGGUGAGGGAUGAAAGCUGGGGGAGCAAACCGGAUUAGAUACCCGGGUAGUCCCAGCUGUAAACGAUGCAGACUCGGUGAUGCCCUGGCUUGUGGCCCAGUGCAGUGCCGCAGGAAGCCGUUAAGUUUGCCGCCUGGGAAGUACGUACGCAAGUAUGAAACUUAAAGGAAUUGGCGGGGGAGCACACAAGGGUGAAGCUGCGUUCAUUGAUUCACGCCGAA
rnacentral:rRNA from 1 species